UACGUAGGGUGCAAGCGUUGUCCGGAAUUAUUGGGCGUAAAGAGCUCGUAGGCGGUUUGUUGCGUCGGCUGUGAAAUCCCGAGGCUCAACCUCGGGUCUGCAGUCGAUACGAGCAAACUAGAGUGUUGCAGGGGAGACUGGAAUUCCUGGUGUAGCGGUGAAAUGCGCAGAUAUCAGGAGGAAUACCGGUGGCGAAGGCGGCAUCCUGGACCGGCAUUGACGCUGAGGAGCGAAAGCCAGGGGAGCAAACGGG
rnacentral:rRNA from 1 species